GUGAAAGUUUAAAGUUACUUCUAUAUAUUAAUUAACAAUGUAAUUAUAAAUAGGUUAGAAAAAGCAGUAUAUAUAGAGGAGGAUAUGUUUCUGGUAUACAUAAAUAUAAUGAUUAUUGAAGGCACUUGAGUAAUUUCACAAAGCAAGCAUUUUGUUUGGCACCUUCAUUUGAGAAUUGAAACAAACUACACGAUGAAGGGCAUGAAAAGCCCCACCUUUAUUUUACUUUUUAUUUACCAUCAUAAAGGAGCCCACAGAUAUGUUUUGGAGCACCAUAUAUACAACUCGUCCAAUAGCAAGCUCUUUGGAUGAACAACAACAACCUUAUUGUUGGUGGAUAGUUCCAAAGGGAUCGCAUUGAUCUAAUUCUUUAUCUUCCUGCAUGUAUUUACUUGCAGCUCUGGUUUUGGACCUUUUUACCGGUUCACUGACUUGGAUCAUGCGAUCCCUUAGGAAUUUUCCAUCGCCAUAAAAAUUAUCUACAUCCACAACAUGCAUCAUUUUCCUGAGUGAAACUUCUUGAGUAUUUGGUCAAGAAGGAAUAACUUGCUCUGAAGGAAAGUGGAGGACAAAUGUGAUGCAGUUUUGAUGCGAGCAAAAGUUUUCUUGGCAGAUUGAACAGCUUCUCAACAAGUUGCUGUUAAAGAAAUACGACAGUUUUCAGAUCAGCAACAAGUCGUUAGUUGGAAUAAACCUCCAAUUGGUGUGCUAAAGUGUAAUAGAGAUAGCUUGGGGCUUUUUAUAGCUGCAGCAACUGGUUUUGAUUCAGCAUAUAUCAGUUAUGGAAGAUCGGAUCAACAAUGAGGUCAAAGAUAUUUCAGAAUGCCGGAUUAUUCUUAGUCAAAUUAAAAACUUACUUAGAAUAUAUCCUACAUACACUGUUAGUUUUGGAAUAGUAUGGUACUUUAGCACAUGCUCUAGCUAGGAAUUAAUUCUACUAGUUUUCCUCAAGCUUCUUCUUUUUCAGUAAUGCCUCAUUUUAUUCAUCACAUAAUUGAAAUGAAAAUAAUCUGAUUUGA